rnacentral:lncRNA from 1 species
GACUGUAAAAGAAAAAAAACCUCAGAAUAACAAUGUUUAGUUUAUGCUUGAAUUUUUAAAAAUAAAAUAUAUUGAAAGUGUAAACUCAGAGCCACUUCCUGUUUCCAAACAGAAAUUAAGAAUUAAAAAAUCAAAAUGACAGACUUCUUGCUAAUCUGCUUAGGAAGGCAUAAAUUGUUAAUCAGGCUCCAGGCAACAUUGUUUCAUACCAAGUUUAAUAAAAAGUCUGCCUGAAGGAAGAAGAGGUCUGGUGGCCCGAUUUUGAAGCUGGGCAGCUCUGUUUACAUGCUUAGACCUUCUAGCUCUUGGGACACCAUGGAUAGGGUUUCCUUUGAAAUCAGCUCCUUUUGUAGGAGUCAGAAUACUAAGAAUGAUUAGCGUGGGAUAGAAAAGUUAUAUUUUUUUCCACUGGUGUGAAUGAAUUUGAAAAUGAAAUAAAUUGGAAAAAUAUUUAUUUAAGAGAAUCUUUGGCUGCUUGUAUGACAAUUUCACUAAGUAAGCAUUAUUGAGCCCUCACUUUGUGCUUAUGUUGGCUAGUGAUGGUUUCAUCUAAGACUGUGAUCUGGGGAUGGAGAAGUGAUAUUUUAAAGCCAUUUCUCCUUUCUCCCCAGCCUGGAUUUAUCUAUUCCAUAAGGCAUCUUACAUGUGGAUCAGGUGGGCUCUUGCUGUGCAGAGAAUCAAGUAAAGAAUUUUCUAAAAGUCUUGGCAUUGUUUUUAGGAGCACUUGUCAAUCAGAACAUAAGGUACACACUCAUUUAAAUUCAGUGGGGAGAGAUUUUAAGAAAAACAAACCAUGGUGCUAUUUGGAGAGAUAUUUUGGAAUGUGGCAUCUGAGAAUUAAAAGCAAACUUGAGGAAGAAAAGCAGGUCUCGUGAGAUAAAAUUUUUAAAUAUGAGAUCUGUAUUGGGCAUGCCUGGACUUCUUUCAAAGGUAGUUGACCUGCAGGUAAAUAUACUUCCUCUGAAUACUGCAGAGUUGUUAGUGUCUCUUUCUGGAUCUGGAGGUUUGGGAUCACCUCCUCCUGGUGACACUAAGCAGUAAUGGGCUCCUUGGUUCUGCUGUCUUAAUUAGGGCCUGCCCCAAAUAUAUUUUUUUUGGAUAAAAAGGCAGAUAAGAGAAAGAGAGUGAAACUGUGGUACUGAAAUUUAUCAUUAGGCCUCCAUCACAGAAUUCAUUCUUUAUGAAACGCUGACAAAAAUCCCAACUAGAUACUUUUAAACAAGUAGUUUAAUAUGAGAAUAAUUGUUGGGAGAUACAGUAGCUCGACUUGGCUCAAAUUAGGAUUCAGCAGUAAUACUCCAGUCUUGGUGGAUUUUAUCAUUUUGCAUUGGUGAUUACUUAGUCUGACCACACCAUUUUGAUCUGUGUUAAAUUAGAACCUGUUGCUAAGGAGAGCUUAGAAUAUUUUAGUUGAAUGUGAAAUUGAGCAGUUUCAAACAUUUUAUAAAAUGGAUGAUAGUAGAUUAAUGAAACUCUCUUUUUUUAAUCCUGCAAAAGAGGUUUAAGCUUUGCAGCUAAAAAUACGAUAAGCUCAUUUUCAUGACUGAAAUCUACACUAUAAGCUAGAAGGCAAUUGCUUUUUGAAGUAAAAAUGCAAACCUUAAAAUACAAUGCAGCACCUUAGAAAAUUUGUGUUUGUCCACAAUUAUGUAAAGUGCACUUUUAUGGAAAAAAAUAGGUAUCUUUUUUUAAAUGUGAAUGGUUAAAUUGAGCUGGGUUUUCUUCAAGUUAUCAAAUUAGAUACGAAUUUAAAACUUUAUUUUGUUUUCCACGGAAUAAUCCACUAUGUAAUUGAGUAGACAAAUUCAUUGUUGAUGACACAUUCUGGCCAUGAGUUCAGCAAAGCAUACUUUUGGAGGACUUAUAUAUAAUCAA